GCAAAUUAAUUUAUUUGAAUUUAUUUCAGCAAGAGUGAUUGUUUGCAUUUUCACAUAUAUAAUUUAAGAAGUCGUGUGGGCAGCCACAACCAUCAAAACUGACAACUGCAAGGUGAUGAGCCAACCACUCCAUUACAAACAAAUGCCUGCAACGCACUACUCACCAUCGGCAUCAUGCAAUUACUGCAUAUUCAAACCACUACUCUAGUUCUAGAAUGUAUCCCGAAGCUGGGAGUCUGGCGCCAAACGGGAUUAGCAGCCAUUGGGAAUUCGCUGCACUUAUAAGCAGAAUUUCCAAUUAGAUGGAACCGUCCAUUAUGAAGUUUUCACAUUUUAGCCGGUGCAACGGUUUAUAUACGGAAAGGUCACUCAGAUGGAUAAACUAUGGAAGGCCAGUCUAGUGGCGGAUUAUUUUAAUAAACAAAUACAUUAUUGACACUAGCUCGCGUUUUUGGCGUAGUGUGCACAGUGAAUGGGCAAUAAAAAUAAUUGGCAGUUAGAAUUAAAAUCAAUGCUGCCAAUAAAGGAGACAUUUGGCCGGGAGUGUGUGCCGUGCGUCUGCCUGCUUUAAAUGGGCAUCCGACCGGAUGGCAGAAAUUAAAAUGGCGUUUGGCUACUGCGUGUGUAAGUGGAGCAGAAAAUUGUCUCCGCGAUCAGUUUGAUCAAGCAUCCUUCAAUUCAUCCAAUUCCCUGCUAGAUUAACAAUUUUACCCUCACCAUCUUAAGUAAACUGUUGACAUUCAGCUCAGUCGAGGGCUUAUUGUACAAAUUUAAUACAUUUUCUCCGCAAACAAAUCGCACUGGCAAACUUUUUGUCCCCAAUCAGACCGGAAAUGCUAAAGGUCAACAUAAUAAUUUUUAAUUAACUACGGCAUUUACAGACGACUCACUAAGCGACGUCCCCAGUUUUCAUUUAUUGCAAGAAUUUCCACCAGACUUGCUUCUUUAUUAUUGUACAACUUGAUUUUGUAUCUUUGGUAAAACCUUUCGGGGGAAAAUGCGUCUGUUUUUAAAAUACUUCUGCACUUUUGAAUACGAUGUUGUGACAGCCGCACUGUAACUAACCAGGGAACAUAGGCAUCCUCCAAAUUCAGAAAAUUUUCAUUUUUUGCAAAAAGGUAGUAUACUAUUGUAGUGUGCUUAAAAAAAUAUUUUCACCUGCCA